rnacentral:pre_miRNA from 1 species
UUACUAUUCCUCCGUCCAACAAAAGAUGUCUCAAGUUUGUCAAAAUUUAGAUGUAUUUUUUUUUGCAGGUUAGAUGUAUUUAGACAUGACUUAAUGUAUAGAUGCAUUCAAAUUUGGUCAAAGUUAAGACAUCCUUUGUUGGACGGAUGGAAUACGUA